rnacentral:rRNA from 1 species
CCUACGGGUGGCAGCAGUGAGGAAUAUUGGUCAAUGGCCGGAAGGCUGAACCAGCCAUGCCGCGUGAAGGUCAGUGCCCUAUGGGCGUUAAACUUCUUUUGUGCGGGAGCAAUAAUGGUCACGUGUGGCCAGACGAGAGUACCGUACGAAUAAACAUCGGCUAACUCCGGGCCAGCAGCCGCGGUAAUACGGGGGAUGCAAGCGUUAUCCGGACUUAUUGGGGUUAAAGGGUGCGUAGGCUGUGAGGUAAGUCAGCGGUGAAAUGCCCCCGCUUAACGGGGUGAAGUGCCAUUGAUACUGCCUUGCUGGAAUGCGGAUGCCGUGGGAGGAAUGUGUGGUGUAGCGGUGAAAUGCAUAGAUAUCACACAGAACACCGAUUGCGAAGGCAUCUCACGAAUCCGCGAUUGACGCUGAUGCACGAAAGCGUGGGUAUCAAACAGGAUUAGAUACCCGUGUAGUC